rnacentral:rRNA from 1 species
UACGUAGGGUGCAAGCGUUGUCCGGAAUUAUUGGGCGUAAAGAGCUCGUAGGCGGUCUGUCGCGUCGAAUGUGAAAACCCGGGGCUCAACUCCGGGCUUGCAUUCGAUACGGGCAGGCUAGAGUUCGGUAGGGGAGUCUGGAAUUCCUGGUGUAGCGGUGAAAUGACGCAGAUAUCAGGAGGAACACCGGUGGCGAAGGCGGGACUCUGGGCCGAUACUGACGCUGAGGAGCGAAAGCGUGGGGAGCGAACAGG